rnacentral:lncRNA from 1 species
AACUGAAUAUGUCUUUACAUUAAAGCUAGAUGGCUCAAUGAAUAAAAUGAUAAACCUGGAGUCAAGAAAACCUGGGUUCAAAUGUGGCUUCAGAAACCUACUAGUUGUGUGACCUUGGUGUUGCACAUCUCCAAAGAUGGAAGGAUUAGAAGCAGAGGGGGAAGAACUCCAGACUAUCUUUCCUAGCGAGUCUUUGGUGGCCUCUCCUUCCCAGAUGGACCCCAUCAAAGGAUCACAGAGACUUUGGAUACUAAAGUUAUACCAUUAGGAGGAUCACAGAACUUUGGAAGACUUAUGGAAGGAUAGAUAAUCUUGCACUAGACUGUUAACAGAUGUUCUGGGAUGAACUCAGAGUUUUGGAGUUCCAGUAGCUUUGAAGAAGGAACUCCCUCUUCCCUAAGUUUUUGAGCACCAUAUGAAGAGGCGAAAAGAGGAGAUGUAAACAGUGAGUCCAUGAACCAAAGGGCAGGACAUGAGGCAUAUGAGUGGACUGGAGCUGAGAUCAGGCUGAAAAGCAGAUGGGAGAGUUGUUGAGAGAAAUUCCA